GACGAACGCUGGCGGCGUGCUUAACACAUGCAAGUCGAACGGAAAGGCCCUGCUUUUGUGGGGUGCUCGAGUGGCGAACGGGUGAGUAACACGUGAGUAACCUGCCCUUGACUUUGGGAUAACUUCAGGAAACUGGGGCUAAUACCGGAUAGGAGCUCCUGCUGCAUGGUGGGGGUUGGAAAGUUUCGGCGGUUGGGGAUGGACUCGCGGCUUAUCAGCUUGUUGGUGGGGUAGUGGCUUACCAAGGCUUUGACGGGUAGCCGGCCUGAGAGGGUGACCGGCCACAUUGGGACUGAGAUACGGCCCAGACUCCUACGGGAGGCAGCAGUGGGGAAUCUUGCACAAUGGGCGGAAGCCUGAUGCAGCAACGCCGCGUGCGGGAUGACGGCCUUCGGGUUGUAAACCGCUUUCGCCUGUGACGAAGCGUGAGUGACGGUAAUGGGUAAAGAAGCAACGGCUAACUACGUG
rnacentral:rRNA from 1 species